rnacentral:tRNA from 1 species
GCCCGUGCGGUAGAGAACGCCAAAAUGCAAAUUUGGAGACGCACCCCAACAGGUGCCGGGGCUUCUCCCGUCUCUCCGUUAAACGGGAGAAGC